CGGGGUGUGGCUCAGUUGGUAGAGCGCCUGGUUUGGGACCAGGAUGCCGCAGGUUCGAAUCCUGUCACUCCGACCA
rnacentral:tRNA from 1 species